ACGAGUCUUUUGAGGGAAAAUUUACACAAAAAAGAAGCUACAGUAAUUAAAAUUUAGCAACAUAAAUUGAAAGCCAACGGCCUUUCGCGCUAUAGAGAUCCCGCGGCAAAGAAUUUUAUUCGAAAUUCUGGGUAUGCGCAUCUGGAGAUGUUCAUUUUUAACCAGCAGCAAAAGGAUUUUCCGAUUUCAUCUGAAAAUCAUCGAGGAGUUUAGGGUUCUUGGAUUGGAGAUUUCGCAAUUACAAAAUCAUCAAUGAGCUAGGGAUUCUGUCGCAGCAGAUUCGUCAAGGUUUGGGAUUAUACAGCUUUGAGUUUGAAUUUUGUAGGAUGAUGGUAAUGCUCGAUCGAGAUGCUGUACAAGAUGGAGCACACAGUACUUAUGGAAAACUUUUUUUUUUUUGUGUCUAAUAAUUUGUAUGAACUGCUGGUCUUAAGUAGUUAAGUUAUCAGUGCUUCUAGAGAUGAAUCACUCGGUGAAUUUUAAUUACUGAGAUUGCCUAAAUUAGAAUAUUAUAAGUGGUAUUAUUAUGUUGCAAGU